CAGAAAUGGGAGUUCCUUGCAGCCCAAAGCUUCCAGGAAAAAACAACUUCUUGCGGUUUUGGACUGAAGGGAGCUCCUACUUCUU
rnacentral:pre_miRNA from 1 species